GAUGAACGCUGGCGGCGUGCCUAAUACAUGCAAGUCGAACGGUCUUUUCUAUGGAAGCUUGCUUCCACUGAGAAGAUAGUGGCGAACGGGUGAGUAACACGUGGGUAACCUGCCCAUAAGAGGGGGAUAACAUCCGGAAACGGGUGCUAAUACCGCAUAGUUUUCUUGAUCGCAUGAUCGGGAAGGGAAAGACGGCCUUUGUGCUGUCGCUUAUGGAUGGACCCGCGGCGUAUUAGUUAGUUGGUGAGGUAAUGGCUCACCAAGACGAUGAUAGGUAGCAGACCUGAGAGGGUGAUCGGCCACAUUGGGACUGAGACACGGCCCAAACUCCUACGGGAGGCAGCAGUAGGGAAUCUUCCGCAAUGGACGAAAGUCUGACGGAGCAACGCCGCGUGAGUGAAGAAGGUUUUCGGAUCGUAAAACUCUGUUGUCAGAGAAGAACAAGUUGGAGAGUAACUGCUCCAGCCUUGACGGUAUCUGACCAGAAAGCCACGGCUAACUACGUGCCAGCAGCCGCAGUAAUAC
rnacentral:rRNA from 1 species